ACUCAAAUGAAUAGACGGGGACCCGCACAACCAGUGGAGCGUGUGGUUUAAUUCGAGACAAAGCGAAAAACCUCACCAAGGUUUGACAUUGUAGCGUCCUAUGCCCGAGAAACCGGGCAAAUUCGCAAGAAGGCUACAACAGGUGCUGCAUGGCUGUCGUCAGCUCGUGCCGUGAGGUGUUCCCUUAAGUGGGGAAACGAGUGCAACCCUUGUCUAAUGUUAAAUAUUCAUUAGAGACUGCCUCAUUUUUAUGAGGAGGAAGGAAAGGCAGAUGUCAAGUCAGCAUGGCCCUUAUACCUUGGGCUACACACACCCUACAAUGGCGAAUAACAAUGGGUUGCAAGCUCGCAAGAGCAAGCUAAUCUCAGAAAUUUCGCCUCAGUUCAGAUAGAGGUCUGAAACUCGACCUCUUGAAGUUGGAAUUGGUAGUAAUCGCGGAUCAGCGGGCCGCGGUGAAUACGUUAUCGGGUCUUGCACACACCGCCCGU
rnacentral:rRNA from 1 species